GUGUGUGUGUGUGUGUGUGUGUGUGUGUGUGUGUGUGUGUGUGUGGGUGUACACACUGGGUACAUGUCCUGGACUUUGCUCUGGACAUGUAAAGAGAGAGAAGAACUAAAUGUUCUGCAAAGAAGAGAAGUGAAGUUAAGUGAUAAACAGUGACUGCAGAGAGCAGAGCUGUCACUAUGUGUGUGUGUGUGUGUGUGUGUGUGUGUGUGUGUGUGUGUGUGUGUGUGUGUGUGUGUGUGUGUGUGUGUGUCUCACUCUGAUGCCGAGAAAACAAGGCUGACUCUCCCUCUUAUAUAAAGCUUUACUCAGCAGAUCCACACUCAGCUACCUACAUUACAUCCUAAUGCUCACAGCUCUGUCAGGAAGCUGCUGAUGUGAUUCAUCAGAAGGAAACACAGUCUUCAUCUGUUUGUCAGCCUCUAACACACUCUGUCUAUCUCUGCUCUCUGACUGUCACCAGAACAUGUUUUGUUACCAGCACACACACACCUCACAGAAAGGUCCCGCUGUCCUCACACCACAAGGAGGAGAAUGCUCUCUGAGGAUGGACCGGUAAAUGGACUGAACUCAUAUAGAUCUUUUUUACCCCAGCAGUUAUACAGUACUUUACAACUUCACCUCUCAUUCAUCCGUUCACACACACACACACACUAUGCAGGACACUGGCUUGCACAUCAGAAGUAACCACCAACCUGCUCCACCACUUGAGCCAUAGCUGCCCCAGUUACAGUUGUGAAUUUGGAUUGAAUCAACAUUUAGUCAAAUACUGGUUGUAACCUGGGACAUGGUCCAGUGAGUCCUGGACAUCACCACAGAUGUGAUGGUCUAAACUAGUUGUCAAAGAAGGACCUUUCUGGUCCCUGUCAGUAUCAAUGUGUCCUUUUGAUCUGCAUCAGUCUGGACUCUGUUAAUGCAGCGUCAUGUCAGCAUCUUUCAAAGAACGAGACCUGAUUCAAACACACAGUAGCUGCUCCUCAGUCCACAGUGAUGUCUGAGGACAUAGUGUGCACACAACAUCGACAACAACAACACAGUGUACUCAACAUCAUCAUCUAAAACCAGAGACAGGGUUAAACUGGGAGUCUCAGGUCAAGGUCGCCUCUCUAACUGGAAGAAACCAUCAUCCCUCCCCUCUGAUGAGACUGAGAGACUCCGUCCCUGUGGGGCUCUUCACCAGUCAUAAAUAACAUCAUGUGACUGAGUCAGCCUCCAUCAAUCAGCAGAUCCAGACCAGCACCCUGCACUGAGCUACAGCCAUGCAGCAGGAGGGAGCUCAGACAUCAGUAAAUCCUGCUUUUGCAAUAAGCAGUCUCACUGCACAGGGAGGAUUCUCCAGGGUUAAAGCAGUGGUUCUGUGAGGAACUGCUGUCUCUCAGAGACCUACAGCCCACAGCCUUCCAGUGCAGCUGCUGUGGAGCAUUUCACUGAAACAGACGUCUCAGGAUGCCACUGACCUUAAAAGCAAACUUGCGGGUGACGUUAUCCGAAGGCUCCAGUCCUCCGAUCCGGAAACUAAGCAGCGGCAGACUCCCUAACACCAAGUCCUCCUUCUCAUCUGUGGAGAGAGUGCGAGAGGUUAUUCAAGGCUGAGAAAUGGAGGACAAACAAGACAAUGAGACAUGAGUCCCAGUACUGGACAGUUAGGGCCCCUGUGGAAAACCACUGAGGGAAACACGCAACACCUGCAUCUGGAUCCACAGCUGAUGGAAGGACUGAACGGACACCUGUUCUCUGUGACUGUCACACUGAUGAUGAAGACAUGAGGAAUUUAACUUAAAGUCCUCUGCUGACCAUUUCUCUUCCAAACACACUGACUGAAGAGUCAUGUAUGAAAGAACACAGCAGUCAGUAAAAGUAAAAAUGAUUACCUCUCAGUUACCUGACCAUGAAAUUUUUAUCAGAUGGACUGUCUGAUUAAUGAGAUAUAUUCUGGUAAUAGACAUGUCACUGUGAAAUUAGAAUGUAAGAUUUCAUCUUUAGAAGACUGUGAGAGCUUUAUGUCAGAACUGAGAUCAGAUAAAGAUUAACUUUUCAUAAAUAGGGGCUGUGUUGUCAUAUUGGGAUUUUUAUUUCUUUAAAGUCUCUUUUUGGCGUUUUUGCCUUUAUUCGGAUAGCACAGUGAGAGAGAGACAGGAAAGUCAGGGAGUGCAGGAUUA